rnacentral:rRNA from 1 species
AUGGAGGUAGACGGACGCGGAGAUGUAUUAGCUCCGUCCCCUCGCCCCGCUUGCGGCAAGAAGCGGCCGCUUUCCCCCUCAACUCCUCAGAAUGCGGACUCGUCCAAGUCCACCACCAGCGACGAGGACGACAACCCCUGGGCGCUCAGCGACGACGAAGAGGAGGAUGAAUACCACGGGAAGUACCGCCCUUUUACAGUUGAUGAUUUCCCAAGGGUUAGCAGUGAUGAUGAGCAGACAGUUGCCGUGUAUAAGAAUCCAGAGAUUUCUAUCCGAGGCCCAAGACCGCUUAGGAGAUUUCCAGCAUUUAAGCCAGAAAGUCGGCAUUCAUGUGAUAUGGAGUAUCAACUUGCCGAUGAAUCUGAAAUCAGUUUCAGCAAUGUUGGGACCGUUGAUUGCUCACAUAAGGGUUAUUGCAGAUCGAUGGACAUGGUGCAGUUCGUUGAUCUCAAAAUCGCUGGCUAUCAGCAUGCCCGGCCUGGACGUGCCAAAAUAUUUGGGUUUUUCGCAGCGCGGGAUCGGGUCGAACCUUUGCGCAAUUAUGUCUAUAGGCGUCAAAUUGAGAAUUAUGAAGCUGUAACUGUGAAGCCAAAGACGGGUAUGGCACGUUUAUCACUGACUAGCUCUGCUCGAGGUAUUGGCAUAAGGAGCCGUGUGCUAUUUGAAUUCAAACUCUGUAUAUGUACUGAAGACCCACAGGAAGAUGGGCCCAAAGGCGACCUUCUUAUUGAAGGACGUACUGAAUUCAGCACCAUGUACACAACAGAAUCAUCCAUUCAAAAUCGGCGUCUUUAUGGGGACAAGUUUUCACUAGAUGUCAAGUUUGCGGCGCUGAUUAAUGCAGUCCAGGCAUUCGUUGAUGUUGAGAUACUCCGUGCUCCUGAUUGUGGCCUUAAUCUGAAUCUCUAUGCCAAGACCAGUGGUUACGAAGAUGUGAUUCCUCUCUACCAGGGAGUUGCAGAAGCUGGCUGCAAAAUAAGUUCAGUUGUAGCCGUGGUGAUACGGAGUUGCGUGUAUCUUCGUAUCGAAGGGACCCCCAAAGAUGACGGACUUUCUCAGAAGCGGCUGCCCUGUGGUGCGUGGGAAGACAGCUUCGACACUUGCUAUCAUGGAAUAGUAGCUAAAGUGGUGAAUCUUGACGAAUUUACCAUGAUUUCGGUGAAGAUCACCUGGAGAACCUUGGAUUGA